rnacentral:rRNA from 1 species
GACGAACGCUGGCGGCGUGGAUUAGGCAUGCAAGUCGAACGGUAUCAUCCUUUCGGGGGUGAGAGAGUGGCGAACUGGUGAGUAACACGUAGGUUAUCUACCCUCAAGACGGGGACAACCCAGGGAAACUUGGGCUAAUACCGGAUGUGAGCAACUUUUAGUUGUUUGAAAGGUGGCGUAAGCUGUCGCUUGGGGAUGAGCCUGCGUCCUAUUAGUUAGUUGGUGAGGUAACGGCUCACCUAGGCAAUGAUAGGUAGGCGGCCUUAACGGGUGGUCGCCCACACUGGGAUUGAGAUACGGCCCAGACUCCUACGGGAGGCAGCAGUCGAGAAUAGUCUACAAUGGUCGGAAGACUGAUAGUGCGACGCCGCGUGAACGAUGAAUCCCUUCGGGGUGUAAAGUUCUUUUAUAUGUGAGCAGUGCUUCUUAUAUUAACAGUAUGGGGAGAGAGAUAUUAGCAUAUGAAUAAGCAACGGCUAACUCCGUGCCAGCAGCCGCGGUAAUAGACG